GCUGGUCCUGUCCUUCCUCCUGCCAUGUGUCUAAGCCCAGCCUCUGAGGAGACGGCACUUGAGCAGAGCUGAGGGGGUGAGGACAGGAGCUGAGCGGACCUCUGGAGGAAGGCUCCCAAGAGGCAGUGGAGCACACCGGAGGCUGGGAGAGGAGGCCGGUCCUCAGGGUCAGGGUGGGGGCUUGGACUUUACACGAAGGAAGAUUGGAGCCAUGGAGAGAUCCGAGCAGAAUGGGAAUAUUUUCUUUGCACCAAGGCAAGGCAAGGCUGACGGUCGCUUACAUCUUUCUGCUGCACCUGCCCCUUGGCCCGGCGGGGACAAGGGGGAGAAGAGCCCAGCCCUGAGGAUGAGGGAUUCAUUACAAGGAGCCUUCACCCGCAGCCCUGGAGGAUGAACCUGGGAGCCGGGGCAGAGCGCACAUGAUCUGGCCUGGCCCUGAGAGGAGCCUGUCACGGUUGAGGAACAGGCGGGUUCAAGACUUGCUCCACCGCCACCGCCACGGAUCUGGGGGAGCCAUGAUUAUCUCCCUUUCCCAGAUGAGGAAGCUGAGGUUCCGAGAGGUUAUCAGUCACAGUCACCUUGCUCCAAGUUGGCAACUCGUGACAGAGAGAGGAAUUGCAGAGUGGCCGGGCCUUCGGAGACGGUCUCCAUCCGGCGCAGGGCUGGCGCCGGGGGUGCUUGGCCAACUCGUCUGUGUCUCCUCCCUCAUCUGUGAGGCUGGAUGCUCACACCCCCAUCACGCAGUGAACCGAGAGGCGUGUGAAGCCGCUCACUGUUAGGGCCCAGCCUGCAGGGGGGCAAAGGGGGCUCCUCUCCUCUGUGUCCCUGGUUUAGUGUCAUCAAUGCCCCUGCAGUGGAUGGAAUGGAGUUUCCGGAAAAGAUAUGUCCAUAUCCUAACCCUGAGAGCCCGUAAAUGGGACCUUGUUUGAAGAAAGGGUCUUUGCACAUUUGAUUGAGAAUCCUGAGAUGAGGUCCUCCACAGUGAGAGGCUGUGUGAAGACAAGGACAGAGGUUGGACAGAUGUGGCCACAUGCCGAGGAAUCCAUGGGGCUCCCGGGAGUUGGAAGAGGCAGGAGGAUCCUUCCUCAGAGCCCCUGGAGGGAGUACAGCUUGGUGACACCUGGGAGGAAACUGGAAAAAAAUAGAUUCCCGUUUUUUUUUUAUAUAUUUUUUUCCUUUUUUAUUUUAGAGAGAGAGAGGAAGG